GAUGAUGUAGUUUAAUGGUAGAGCGUGGGAAUCAUAAUCCUAAUGUUGUAGGUUCAAAUCCCUACCCAUCA
rnacentral:tRNA from 1 species